AUGUUUGCCUGGAGGGCAGAAGACUUCUCAGCCCAGCCAAGGGCACAGAGAGCCAUCCCCCAGCCUGUGCCAGCCUUCCAGCUGCAAGAGACUGCUCAUGGCACUGAUGGCACCGCUCCGACCUUGGGCACGGCACAGGACGGCAUAAGUGAGCUGUGCAGACGCUUCAUGCUGCUGAGCAUUGGAGCCAAGCAGAUGCACAUCAAUGAUGGCCCCAAAACCACCGCUUUUGCCAGCCAUAAAGUGCUCAAAGCCAAACCAUCGGAACUGUUGAGCCAAAGCGUGACCUCCGUUAGUCCCAUAUGUGACCCAUUCCAACAUGGGAGCCCUGAGCUGCGUGCCCAUCAGAGCCAGCUCAGCCAGGUGCAGUGGGCAAUGCAGAGUACUGUGAUGCCGAUCUUGGAGCCACCAGCAGCUACCAACAAAGCAGCAGCAAAUGGGCCAGCAGACCCAGUCAGCCCGCAUCCAUGUCCAGCUCAGCCCAGGAAGCGCAGGCAAUGUGCUGGGAGAGAGCACAACCGUGGCAGCCAGGCUGAGGACUCUGUGGACCAAUUCCAGGAGGAGUUUAGACCCAAGGCCAAGAAGAGCUGCAAAGCCUUGCCCAACUUCCCUGUGUCUCUGCUCCCAGAAGGCCUUCCAUCCAGCACUGCAAAUGGCAGCAAGAAGGCUCAGCCCAGCUGCGCUCCUGCCCCGGGUUUGGAUGCCAAACUGCAGAAGAGCACAGAGAGCUGCAGGAUGGACGGGCCAAGCACAGGCAAAGAGGGCAUCUUCCACCCUGACCCUCCUCUGCAGAAAAGUGCUGAGAGGGAUAAACCAUCAGGGAAGCGACAGAAGAAAUCCAAACAUCUGGAAGUGCAGCACAGCAGAAAGAGGUCCUUCCUGAAAAUGGACGACCCCUUUGACUCUGCAAGUAUAUGUGAUGUGGUCACCGUACCAACGAAGGUCGUGAAGCUCUCGUAGUCCACACUGCACUGCAGCUCCUCGCCGGCCACACGAGGAGCUUCCCUUCAACAGCCACCCGUGCCCCAACAGCUCCUUUAUGCUGUUCAUUAUUAAUGUUUUCACAUUAUUACUUUAUAGUGUUAAGGUAGAAUAUAUGGUUACUUCUUUAGGUAUAGGUGUUCAAAUUACAUUGUUUCUCUGUUGAAAAUACACUGUUAUAUAUUAAAAUUUCUUUCCUUUAGAUAAGAAAUCAUAUUUGCACGUGUUUUUUGGGGGGGAGAUGGGAUUGAAGGAGGCACCUGGUUAUGUUGUUUUUGGUGGUGUCAAUGAAAUGAAUUGAAAAUGAGAAGGUUGGGUGGGAUGAUCUCCGUGGUCUUUCCCACCUCCAUGAGCAGUGUUUGCUUUCCCAGCUCCUUCCCCGGCAGCCCACAGCAGACGUCUGGGGGGAGCAGCACUGCUUGCCUCUUGGAGGGCGAUUUCAUGGCCAGGCCGGGAAUGUGCGCCGCGUCCCUCUGCCACGGGGCAGAGAUGCUGCUGGAGGAGGUUCUGCUCAUCUGCUGUGCUCCUGAGAUGGGCACCCUCUGCUCCGCCAAGGGGCCUGCUGCUGGCUCUGAGCGCUGUGUGCUGCUGGACAGCCGGCUGUGCUCGUGCUGUAGGGGUGCCAUGCAGUUUGGCAAGGGGCUGAACGGCCCCCAGCACCAUCUGCAGCACAGAGAGGGCGUGAGAACCCCAGAGCCCCAGAGCUGGCCUUGGGCAAACACGGAAACCCAACCCACAGCGAGCCCUGCGCAUGGACAGGGCUAUGCCUGGCCAUGGCCACAAGCCCAGGUCUGCGGGAGUGGGGACCCAGGUGGAAUGCUGUGCCAUCUCUGCAUCUGCAGCACCACAAACACAGCCCAUACACACAUCUGGGCUUUCCUUGGAACCCCGUGGCUUUUGAAGGCUGUGUCAGCUCAGUGAGCAGCUCCUCCAGCUUGGGGCAUCCUCCUUGGGGAUGCA
ensembl:lncRNA